GACGAACGCUGGCGGCGUGCUUAACACAUGCAAGUCGAGCGGUAAGGCCCUUUCGGGGGUACGACGAGCGGCGAACGGGUGAGUAACACGUGGGUGACCUGCCCUUACGCUCUGGGAUAAGCCUGGGAAACGUGGGUCUAAUACCGGAUAUGACUCCAUGACGCAUGUUGUGGGGUGGAAAGCCUUGUGCGGCUAGGGAUGGGCCCGCGGCCUAUCAGCUUGUUGGGUGGGGUGAUGGCCACCAAGGCGACGACGGGUAGCCGGCCUGAGAGGGCGACCGGCCACACUGGGACUGAGACACGGCCCAGACUCCUACGGGAGGCAGCAGUGGGGAAUCUUGCGCAAUGGGCGAAAGCCUGACGCAGCGACGCCGCGUGGGGAUGACGGCCU
rnacentral:rRNA from 1 species